UUAAGCGACUAAGCGUACACGGUGGAUGCCCUGGCAGUCAGAGGCGAUGAAGGACGUGCUAAUCUGCGAUAAGCGUCGGUAAGGUGAUAUGAACCGUUAUAACCGGCGAUUUCCGAAUGGGGAAACCCAGUGUGUUUCGACACACUAUCAUUAACUGAAUCCAUAGGUUAAUGAGGCGAACCGGGGGAACUGAAACAUCUAAGUACCCCGAGGAAAAGAAAUCAACCGAGAUUCCCCCAGUAGCGGCGAGCGAACGGGGAGCAGCCCAGAGUCUGAAUCAGCUUGUGUGUUAGUGGAACGGUCUGGAAAGUCCGACGGUACAGGGUGAUAGUCCCGUACACCAAAAUGCACAGGUUGUGAACUCGAAGAGUAGGGCGGGACACGUGGUAUCCUGUCUGAAUAUGGGGGGACCAUCCUCCAAGGCUAAAUACUCCUGACUGACCGAUAGUGAACCAGUACCGUGAGGGAAAGGCGAAAAGAACCCCGGCGAGGGGAGUGAAAAAGAACCUGAAACCGUGUACGUACAAGCAGUGGGAGCACCUUCGGGUGUGACUGCGUACCUUUUGUAUAAUGGGUCAGCGACUUAUAUUCUGUAGCAAGGUUAACCGAAUAGGGGAGCCGAAGGGAAACCGAGUCUUAACUGGGCGUUAAGUUGCAGGGUAUAGACCCGAAACCCGGUGAUCUAGCCAUGGGCAGGUUGAAGGUUGGGUAACACUAACUGGAGGACCGAACCGACUAAUGUUGAAAAAUUAGCGGAUGACUUGUGGCUGGGGGUGAAAGGCCAAUCAAACCGGGAGAUAGCUGGUUCUCCCCGAAAGCUAUUUAGGUAGCGCCUCGUGAACUCAUCUUCGGGGGUAGAGCACUGUUUCGGCUAGGGGGUCAUCCCGACUUACCAACCCGAUGCAAACUGCGAAUACCGGAGAAUGUUAUCACGGGAGACACACGGCGGGUGCUAACGUCCGUCGUGAAGAGGGAAACAACCCAGACCGCCAGCUAAGGUCCCAAAGUCAUGGUUAAGUGGGAAACGAUGUGGGAAGGCCCAGACAGCCAGGAUGUUGGCUUAGAAGCAGCCAUCAUUUAAAGAAAGCGUAAUAGCUCACUGGUCGAGUCGGCCUGCGCGGAAGAUGUAACGGGGCUAAACCAUGCACCGAAGCUGCGGCAGCGACGCUUAUGCGUUGUUGGGUAGGGGAGCGUUCUGUAAGCCGUUGAAGGUGGCCUGUGAGGGUUGCUGGAGGUAUCAGAAGUGCGAAUGCUGACAUAAGUAACGAUAAAGCGGGUGAAAAGCCCGCUCGCCGGAAGACCAAGGGUUCCUGUCCAACGUUAAUCGGGGCAGGGUGAGUCGACCCCUAAGGCGAGGCCGAAAGGCGUAGUCGAUGGGAAACAGGUUAAUAUUCCUGUACUUGGUGUUACUGCGAAGGGGGGACGGAGAAGGCUAUGUUGGCCGGGCGACGGUUGUCCCGGUUUAAGCGUGUAGGCUGGUUUUCCAGGCAAAUCCGGAAAAUCAAGGCUGAGGCGUGAUGACGAGGCACUACGGUGCUGAAGCAACAAAUGCCCUGCUUCCAGGAAAAGCCUCUAAGCAUCAGGUAACAUCAAAUCGUACCCCAAACCGACACAGGUGGUCAGGUAGAGAAUACCAAGGCGCUUGAGAGAACUCGGGUGAAGGAACUAGGCAAAAUGGUGCCGUAACUUCGGGAGAAGGCACGCUGAUAUGUAGGUGAAGUCCCUCGCGGAUGGAGCUGAAAUCAGUCGAAGAUACCAGCUGGCUGCAACUGUUUAUUAAAAACACAGCACUGUGCAAACACGAAAGUGGACGUAUACGGUGUGACGCCUGCCCGGUGCCGGAAGGUUAAUUGAUGGGGUUAUCCGUAAGGAGAAGCUCUUGAUCGAAGCCCCGGUAAACGGCGGCCGUAACUAUAACGGUCCUAAGGUAGCGAAAUUCCUUGUCGGGUAAGUUCCGACCUGCACGAAUGGCGUAAUGAUGGCCAGGCUGUCUCCACCCGAGACUCAGUGAAAUUGAACUCGCUGUGAAGAUGCAGUGUACCCGCGGCAAGACGGAAAGACCCCGUGAACCUUUACUAUAGCUUGACACUGAACAUUGAGCCUUGAUGUGUAGGAUAGGUGGGAGGCUUAGAAGUGUGGACGCCAGUCUGCAUGGAGCCGACCUUGAAAUACCACCCUUUAAUGUUUGAUGUUCUAACGUUGGCCCCUUAUCGGGGUUGCGGACAGUGUCUGGUGGGUAGUUUGACUGGGGCGGUCUCCUCCUAAAGAGUAACGGAGGAGCACGAAGGUUAGCUAAUCCUGGUCGGACAUCAGGAGGUUAGUGCAAUGGCAUAAGCUAGCUUGACUGCGAGCGUGACGGCGCGAGCAGGUGCGAAAGCAGGUCAUAGUGAUCCGGUGGUUCUGAAUGGAAGGGCCAUCGCUCAACGGAUAAAAGGUACUCCGGGGAUAACAGGCUGAUACCGCCCAAGAGUUCAUAUCGACGGCGGUGUUUGGCACCUCGAUGUCGGCUCAUCACAUCCUGGGGCUGAAGUAGGUCCCAAGGGUAUGGCUGUUCGCCAUUUAAAGUGGUACGCGAGCUGGGUUUAGAACGUCGUGAGACAGUUCGGUCCCUAUCUGCCGUGGGCGCUGGAGAAUUGAGGGGGGCUGCUCCUAGUACGAGAGGACCGGAGUGGACGCAUCACUGGUGUUCGGGUUGUCAUGCCAAUGGCACUGCCCGGUAGCUAAAUGCGGAAGAGAUAAGUGCUGAAAGCAUCUAAGCACGAAACUUGCCCCGAGAUGAGUUCUCCCUGACUCCUUGAGAGUCCUGAAGGAACGUUGAAGACGACGACGUUGAUAGGCCGGGUGUGUAAGCGCAGCGAUGCGUUGAGCUAACCGGUACUAAUGAACCGUGAGGCUUAACCUU
rnacentral:rRNA from 1 species